GACCUCCCUUAGGAGAUCAAUCCCCUGUCCUCCUGCUCUUUGCUCUGUGAGAAAGAUCCACCUACGACCUCAGGUCCUCAGACCGACCAGCCCAAGAAACAUCUCACCAAUUUCAAAUCCGCCACUGCCAGAGCCCCUGGAACUCUGGCCCGAGGCUCUCUGACUGACUCCUUCCCAGAUCUUCUUGGCUUAGUGGCUGAAGACUGAUGCUGCCUGAUCGCCUCGGAAGCCCCCUAGACCAUCACGGACGCCAAGCUUCAGGUAACUCUCACAGUGGAAGAAGGCAGGAAUGUCAGGCCUCUGAGCCCAAGCCAAGCCAUCGCAUCCCCUGUGACUUGCACAUAUAUGCCCAGAUGGCCUGAAGUAACUGAAGAAUCACAAAAGAAGUGAAUAUGCCCUGCCCCACCUUAACUGAUGACAUUCCACCACAAAAGAAGUGUAAAUGGCCGGUCCUUGCCUUAAGUGAUGACAUUACCUUGUGAAAGUCCUUUUCCUGGCUCAUCCUGGCUCAAAAAUCACCCCCACUGAGCACCUUGCAACCUCCACUCCUGCCCUCCAGAGAACAAACCCCCUUUGACUGUAAUUUUCCUUUACCUACCCAAAUCCUAUAAAACGGCCCCACCCUUAUCUCCCUUUGCUGACUCUGUUUUCGGACUCAGCCUACCUGCACCCAGGUGAAAUAAACAGCCAUGUUGCUCACA
rnacentral:lncRNA from 1 species